rnacentral:rRNA from 1 species
CCUACGGGUGGCAGCAGUGAGGAAUAUUGGUCAAUGGACGCGAGCCUGAACCAGCCAAGUAGCGUGAAGGAUGACUGCCCUAUGGGUUGUAAACUUCUUUUAUAUGGGAAUAAAAUGUCUCAUGUGUGGGAUUUUGUAUGUACCAUAUGAAUAAGGAUCGGCUAACUCCGUGCCAGCAGCCGCGGUAAUACGGAGGAUCCGAGCGUUAUCCGGAUUUAUUGGGUUUAAAGGGAGCGUAGGUGGAUUGUUAAGUCAGUUGUGAAAGUUUGCGGCUCAACCGUAAAAUUGCAGUUGAAACUGGCAGUCUUGAGUACAGUAGAGGUGGGCGGAAUUCGUGGUGUAGCGGUGAAAUGCUUAGAUAUCACGAAGAACUCCGAUUGCGAAGGCAGCUCACUGGACUGCAACUGACACUGAGGCUCGAAAGUGUGGGUAUCAAACAGGAUUAGAUACCCGGGUAGUC